CACGAAGUUAGCCGGUGCUUAUUCUUCCGGUACCGUCAUGACGCUUGGGUAUUAACCGAGCGCUUUUCUUUCCGGACAAAAGAGCUUUACAACCCGAGGGCCUUCUUCACUCACGCGGUAUGGCUGGAUCAGGCUUGCGCCCAUUGUCCAAUAUUCCCCACUGCUGCCUCCCGUAGGAGUCUGGACCGUGUCUCAGUUCCAGUGUGGCUGAUCAUCCUCUCAGACCAGCUACGGAUCGUCGCCUUGGUGGGCCGUUACCCCGCCAACAAGCUAAUCCGACAUCGGCUCAUCUAUCCGCGCGAAGCCCGAAGGUCCUCCGCUUUCACCCUAAGGUCGUAUGCGGUAUUAGCGUAAGUUUCCCUACGUUAUCCCCCACGAAAAGGUAGAUUCCGAUGUAUUCCUCACCCGUCCGCCACUCGCCACCCAGAGAGCAAGCUCUCCUGUGCUGCCGUUCGACUUGCAUGUGUUAGGCCUACCGCCAGCGUUCACUCUGAGCCAGGAUCAAACUCUC
rnacentral:rRNA from 1 species